CCUACGGGAGGCAGCAGUGAGGAAUAUUGGUCAAUGGCCGGAAGGCUGAACCAGCCAAGCCGCGUGAAGGACGAAGGUGCCAAGCAUUGUAAACUUCUUUUGUCAAGGGACAAAAUCAGGCUCGAGAGCCUGACCGAGGGUACUUGAAGAAAAAGCAUCGGCUAACUCCGUGCCAGCAGCCGCGGUAAUACGGAGGAUGCGAGCGUUAUCCGGAUUGAUUGGGUUUAAAGGGUGCGUAGGCGGACUGGUAAGUCAGCGGUAAAAGCCCGGGGCUCAACCCCGGCGAGCCGUUGAAACUGGCUGUCUUGAGAUGUCGAGAGGUAUGCGGAAUGCGCAGUGUAGCGGUGAAAUGCUUAGAUAUUGCGCAGAACUCCGAUUGCGAAGGCAGCAUACCGGCGGCGAUCUGACGCUGAGGCACGAAAGCGUGGGUAUCGAACAGGAUUAGAUACCCUUGUAGUC
rnacentral:rRNA from 1 species